GAUGAACGCUAGCGGCAGGCUUAAUACAUGCAAGUCGAGGGGCAGCAUGGGUAGCAAUACCUGAUGGCGACCGGCAAACGGGUGCGGAACACGUACGCAACUUUCCCAGAACUGGAGAAUAGCCCUCCGAAAGGAGGAUUAAUACACCGUAAGAUAGAGAUGUGGCAUCACAUUUUUAUUAUAGCUCCGGCGGUUUUGGAUGGGCGUGCGCCUGAUUAGGUAGUUGGCGGGGUAACGGCCCACCAAGCCUACGAUCAGUAACUGGUGUGAGAGCACGACCAGUCACACGGGCACUGAGACACGGGCCCGACUCCUACGGGAGGCAGCAGUAAGGAAUAUUGGUCAAUGGACGCAAGUUUGAACCAGCCAUGCCGCGUAAAGGAUGAAGGCCCUCUGGGUUGUAAACUUCUUUUAUCUGGGACGAAAAAGGGGCAUUCUUGCUCAACUGACGGUACCAGAGGAAUAAGCACCGGCUAACUCCGUGCCAGCAGCCGCCGUAACAC
rnacentral:rRNA from 1 species